rnacentral:rRNA from 1 species
UAAGGAAUAUUGGUCAAUGGGCGCAAGCCUGAACCAGCCAUGCCGCGUGCAGGAAGACGGCCCUAUGGGUUGUAAACUGCUUUUGUCAGGGAAUAAACCCCCGCUCGUGAGCGGGGCUGAAGGUACCUGAAGAAUAAGCAUCGGCUAACUCCGUGCCAGCAGCCGCGGUAAUACGGAGGAUGCAAGCGUUAUCCGGAUUCAUUGGGUUUAAAGGGUGCGCAGGCGGAUUGGUAAGUCAGGGGUGAAAUCCCACAGCUCAACUGUGGAACUGACUUUGAUACUGUCAGUCUAGAGUAUAGUUGAAGUGGGCGGAAUGUGUCAUGUAGCGGUGAAAUGCUUAGAUAUGACACAGAACACCGAUCGCGAAGGCAGCUCGCUAAGCUAUAACUGGCGCUCAGGCACGAAAGCGUGGGGAUCAAACAG